UGGCAUAUGCAACAAGCUUUACUUUCCUGUCUCGGAAGAGUACGGGUAAUCUUGUAUAAUGUAUGUCGUGCUAGGGAUAGAUCUUUGGAAUUAUAGAUCUUGAACGAGGAAUUCCUAGUAAGCAUAAGUCAUCAGCUUGUGCUGAUUACGU
rnacentral:rRNA from 1 species